GUCGGAUCAAGGGUGUAUCUAGCACUGGACUUUGACGUCUUGGGGUGAGAGAAAAGAAGAAAAAUUCCAUUAACUCCAGCAUUGUUCUUUUAAAAGGGCAACCAGAAAUGGAAGCUACACGAAACUCCCUAUUAAUUUAUCCACAAAGCGGUUGAUGCUACUUCGCUGCAUCUCUUGAUCAACAAAUCGUGGUGCAUAUAUGGUUUUGAUCAGUGAUUAAUGCAAACAAUACUCUUGUUCUUUUCAUUUUUAUUAUUUGCAUUAGUUCGCUAUCCUGAAACAAAACAAUUAAUUGCCGUUGAAAGCAUGGACUUAACUUUAUAAAUAACUAGGUGGCUGCCACAUAAAUUUAACAGAAAGUUGACCUCUCACCUCAGCGCCGCAAUGUAUUCAACAAGUAUUUGCAUUCGCACGCCGCCGCUUGAAGCUUGUGAUGCGAUCCCAUAAAUUAAACUGGCUAAAACCGGAGAAAAGGAAGGCAAACGUCACCGAAACAGGAGGAAAAAAUGCAGGGGAUGGCCAGAGCAAACUCAGUCCGCAGAAGCCGCAAACAUGCAAACCAAAAAAAGAGGCCACAUGGGCGUAGUGAGGGGGAUUCAUUCCGGAUGCCAGGGGGAGAACGAAUGCAGCUCCAACUAAGCACGUGUCAAGAGUGCGGCCCAAGUUUUAAUUUGCCGGAGGCGUCCACUAACAUCGCAUGGCCCGCAUCACCACUGGAAGAACUGAAAUGGAUCUUGUUGUUUUAUAUUUUUUAUCCGAAACCAUACACCUUACACAUUACAUAUUUAAAAAUUUAAAAAAUUACUUGAGCUUUUGCUGUUCACAAUCCAAAUCUUUAUAUGUUGUAUAAUGUAUAUAUCUUUAUAUGUCUUUAUAUGUUGUUACUUUCAUGUUGUUACGAAUACAUUGUACCAAAUUUUUUUUUAAGAUUAUAAUUUGUUAA